rnacentral:rRNA from 1 species
GACGAACGCUGGCGGCGUGCUUAACACAUGCAAGUCACGGGGGGCUCGCAAGAGCUAACCGGCGAACGGGUGCGUAACACGUGAACAACCUGCCCUCGUGUGGGGGAUAGCCAUGCUAACGCGUGGGUAAUACCGCAUACGUUUCUCUGGGGGAGUCCCUGGGGAAGGAAAGCUCCGGCGCACGGGGAGGGGUUCGCGGCCUAUCAGCUAGUUGGUGCGGUAACGGCGCACCAAGGCGACGACGGGAGCUGGUCUGAGAGGAUGGCCAGCCACAUUGGGACUGAGAGACGGCCCAGACUCCUACGGGAGGCAGCAGUGGGGAAUCUUGCGCAAUGGUCUAACGACUGACGCAGCGACG